CAUCCAGGUAGAGUCGGUAGUCGUCUGCAUCGUCGGCAUCGGACUCCGGUCCGCUGAUGGCGUCGAGCCGCUGGAGGCUGACUGUGCGGGUGAGGCGCCGGUUGAUGGCUGACAGGCGGGCAAUCUGUUGGGAUGCAAUGUUUCAGGUCAAGGUGCAUGCAUGUCCCAUGGGUCGUAACUGGGAGUGUGUUGGGGGCAGGGACAGGAGUCUGUACAGAAGGGGAAGGCAAUGAGGUGGAAUAACCCAGUCAACAAUGGGCUAGUGUGAGGGACUGAAGGGCCGAGCGGCGAGGGAGGAGCCAUGCAACACACGCCUGGCACCGCUCUACAACACUCACACACUCAGGGCAUGCAUAACCGUGAUGCCAAAGCACUUACGCUGUCCUUACUUAUUGGAGGAGGGCUGCAGGUGCAAGUGUGUUAGAAAACUUGGGUUAAAAAGUGGUAUCACACACAGGACAGGAAGCUUAUAUUGCACUAGUGGGAUGUUUUAAGACUGUUGGAGACAUGGCAGUAAUGUUAGGUCAGUGAGGAGACAUGACAGUCAUUUUAGCAAUGUAGAGGUGUGUUUGAUCUGAGGUGAGGUGAGGUGAGGUGAUGGUGAUGGCUGAGGUGUAAACAAUCCUCCACAUUUUAGCUCAAUUUCCUGUUGAAAUUUCUUGCAGCUUCAGGGACAACAAGGCCUGGCUACACACUCCACAUCCCUGACAGGAGAAGACAGCCCUCUGAUUCCCUGUGUUGUGAGAGAGGUGAGGCAAAGGACCAGCAACCACUUCAUCCAUAUUCCUAUUCCUGUCAAGUAAUGGCACACGUGACAUAUCAGCAGCGGUCAGGAGAUAUGUGAUUAUGGGAGUGAUUGUGGUGUUCGUUAACAUUCUGUGGAGUCUGUGGGGUGCGGCUGAGAUGAGAGAGAGAAUGUGCCAGCCUUCAUUGGAAAAUGCAAAGCCCCAGUUGUUGCAGGACUCAAUGGCUCCAUUGCCAUUUCAUCCUGCUCACUGGUAACUGAAAAAUGAGACUUUUGUGUCUAGAUAAAAACAACAAUAAAUAUUUCAAAACACUAAGCUUCUAAAUGAUUUCCAUUUUGUUGUAUUUUAAAUAUUUUGUAAGUAAUUAUUCCAAAGCCAGGCAGUUUGAAAUAUUUACUGCAUUUAAUUUCGACACAAUCUCAUUUUUGUCACAAGUGAAUGGAAUCAAAUGGUGACAAAUCCAUUCACUCCUGCAGCAGUUCUUGCUUUAUAUUUUCUACCAGAUGACACAAUGCCAAUCUGCUGCUUUUCAAUAUCACUUCCCAAAUGCUGAAAAUUAAGUGUGUCUCAGUGCUGUGGGAGGUGUAGUGUUGAGUGCAAGGUGAAGGUGAGGUGAGGAUCAGCCAUGAAGCAGGUGUGGUGAGCCUAGUGCUGCUGCUGCUGCUGCUGGUGGAAGCUCUAAUAUGAGUGGUGAGGUGUGUGUGUGUGUUUAGACAGUGAGUGCACAUUAUUAGGGAGGUUAGAGUGUGAAGAUUAAGCCUGACUUGGUAACACUACAUCCACACACUGGAUGCAGUGACUGACUCAUAGUACAUAUGAUGAUGGAUAUCAGUUAUUUUUAGUCUGAAUGGUGAAGCUUGUGGUGAAUGUCCCAAAAACUGACUCCAUAAUCACAUGUGCUUUAUCAUACAAGUUCCAUCAGAGAAGCUGGAUCUGUACUUAAAGACAAGUGCAGGAAUGUUUAGGCAACUUCUCUGAACUGUGCAUUUGGUGCAAAAUGUGAAUUGUGAUACCUUAACUUCAUAUUAUUCUUUAAAUCACUUCUGUAAAAAUGUGUAGACUGAAAGCUGUUUACUACAGUAACAGUGACCUGACAAUGAAUUAACCAACUUUCUAGCCAUGUUAACUAAGGGAACAGUGACCUGACAAUGAAUUGACUCACUUUCUACUCCCACAAUAUGGUUUCAAUAAGCACUACCUGGCAGCAUCCACCACUGCACCACAGUCUCCAGUCAAGCUAAAGCCCCAGAAAGAGAUAGCACUACUCACCUCUGCCUGCAGCUCUGCCACCUUGUCCUGCAGCCGAGGCACCUGGUCACUCUCGCUGCCGCCCACUCGGGACACCUCGCCCUCUGUCACCAGCUCCUGAUUCUGAGGGAGGGGCACAGAUUAAGUGAUGUUGAAGAUAUGAAUGGUGGGGCCUCCUUCUAUGCUCUUCAUCCAUCAAUAAUGUUGCUCAAAUACAGACAAUGAAUAUUAUAUAUUAAUAUUAAUACAAGUAGUAUGUCAGGGAUUUGUCACAACAAUAAAAUGCAUUCAUUACACAUUCAUUAGCUAUCUUGAUGGUUUGCUGUUGAGAUGCGUUUAACUGAGUGGUAUGUAUUAGUGACUGCUACAACUGUUCAUCAAUAAUCUGCAAUUUGGUACUUUGAAUUUUCUUGUACAUUUCCUACAAAUUGUAAGGUGUAAGUUAUGUCUCUUGCUUUACCUUGAAUUCCAAAGACGAGAUUUUCUGUGUUAAUUCAGCUAAGCUUUGUGACUUCUCAGCCUCUCGAAUUCGUGCCAGCAUUUUCUCCUCCUUCAUCUGAAAUAAAAGCAUGAAUUAGUUCAACUAGAACCUUUUGAAAGUAGUGAAGGUGUGGUACAAUGUUUAAGAAUACAGGCUAGAGGUUGGUGCACUUGCCUGGCUCUCAAGAUCAGUAUACUUCCGCUUGUGGUCGCCCAGCUGGGACUGCAUGGUGCGGAUGUUUGCUUCAGCUGCAUCCAGAGCCUCCUGUAGCCUCUUGUUUUCCUCCUCCUGACGCUUCAUCUGGUUAGUGGAGACCUGCACGGCCGUCUCCAGCUCCAUCACCUGCAGGAGGAGAGAGAAUUGUUCAGUCUUGCAAUUCAACACUACUUGGGUCUUUAAUAUGGCAACUUCCCACCUUGAGCCUGGCCUCCUUCAGUUCAGCUACAGCAGCUGUCUCAUGCAGCUUGGUGGUCAUGAGCUCCUCCUCUAGCUUGGCUGCCUCACUGGACCGAUCCCAGAACAGUCCCAACUUCUUGCUUGGG